UACAGAGGUCUCAAGCGUUGUUCGGAUUCAUUGGCGUAAAGGGUGCGUAGGUGGCGCCGUAAGUCAGGUGUGAAAUUUCGGAGCUUAACUCCGAAACUGCAUUUGAUACUGCGGUGCUUGAGGACUGGAGAGGAGACUGGAAUUUACGGUGUAGCAGUGAAAUGCGUAGAGAUCGUAAGGAAGACCAGUGGCGAAGGCGGGUCUCUGGACAGUUCCUGAC
rnacentral:rRNA from 1 species